AGAACUACUUAAGGGUAGUCGACAGGGGGAACGACGACGACGUAGAUGACUUCCAGACCUCGAUGGUUAUAGACCGGAACGUAGUCGACAGGGGGAACGACGACGUAGAUGACUUCCAGAGUUCGAUGGUUAUAGACCGGAACGUAGUCAUCCUUGUUCGAACGACCAAAGAAACAGUAAACAACUACUACCUUGUUGUAGUUCGAGUUCCAGUGGAAGGUCGGGCGACAAUCUACCUAGGACUUGCGGUAGGAACAGAAGAGGACUGCGACAUCCCAGACGUAGUCGAAAGAAAACAAAAAAACGCAAUCCCCACGGUAGUAGGAGUCCUAGUAGCAAAGGACGUGGUCCCAGACGCCCUAGACUUAGAAAGGAACCAGAGAAGGUGAAAAAGCAUCUACUACACGGUAGUAGGAGUUUUAGAAGGAGGAGAGAUGGGGACACGUCUAUCCAGGUGUUAAAAAACAGUAAUAGUAUGUCGUGUGUUCCUAGUGCGAGUAUUACGUUCGCUAGUUCUCGCGGUGACUGUUGAACUAAUUGUCGUCGGAGAAAUAACCUAAGACGUACUAAAUCCA
rnacentral:rRNA from 1 species